rnacentral:rRNA from 1 species
CACGUAGGGUGCGAGCGUUUGUCCGGAAUUAUUGGGCGUAAAGAGCUCGUAGGCGGUGUGUCACGUCGGCCGUGAAAACCUGCAGCUUAACUGUGGGCGUGCGGUCGAUACGGGCAUCACUGGAGUUCGGCAGGGGAGACUGGAAUUCCUGGUGUAGCGGUGAAAUGCGCAGAUAUCAGGAGGAACACCGGUGGCGAAGGCGGUUCUCUGGGAAUAUCCUGACGCUGGAGGAGCGAAAGUGUGGGGAGCGAACAGG